rnacentral:rRNA from 1 species
UACAGAGGGUGCGAGCGUUAAUCGGAAUUACUGGGCGUAAAGGGCGCGUAGGCGGUUGGAUAAGUCAGCUGUGAAAACCACGGGCUUAACUCGUGGCCUGCAGUUGAGACUGUCUGGCUUGAGUGUGGGAGAGGAGAGUGGAAUUCCUGGUGUAGCGGUGAAAUGCGUGGAUAUCAGGAGGAACACCGGUGGCGAAGGCGGCUCUCUGGACCACAACUGACGCUGAGGCGCGAAAGCUAGGGGAGCAAACAGG